ACUACUUAAAAUCCUUUCCAAUUUGGUGAAAUAAAGGAUAAUAUUAUAUUGCUUUACAUUGAUUUCUACUUGUACUAUUUUUUUUUUUUAAAACAUGACCAGUGAAGUGUCCCACUGGUUUAUUUUAUUAAUAAUAUCUCAAUUGAGAUAAGUCCAACAAAAACUAAAGUUAAGCAAUAAAAGGAAAGAAAGGUCCAGAAGAAUAAAAGAUGAAAUAGGAAAGUAAAGUUCAGGUGACGAUCUCUCUUCUUCAAAUAUUGAGCUUCACGGACCAUGAUCGCUAUGGAUUUGUCAUCAUUUUUCAUUGAUCGAAGGUGAGCUUUGGUCUUGUAAUUGUUGGUUGUUGCCACUUAUGCUACAUAAGAAAAAGUAGUUCCAAAGACCAAAGGAGCAGAAGAGGCUUCAUAUAGCAAAAACGAAGUGCCGGAUAAUUGAUAUGUAUUUCUACUGCAGGCAAGGAAAAUUAUUGUCAGCCUACUAAAGACACUCAUAAAGGAGAGGAGCUUUCAAGCAAACUCAACACAAUAUGCUUGGUUACCUGAUGAAUGAAGAAGCAAAUAGGUACAAAAUUAACAAAUGAUGAGAUGAUUGAUAUAAUCAUAACCAUUUUGUACUCUUUCCACUACUUCUGUGAUGGCUGUCGAAUAUCUUCAUGAUCAUCCAAAAGUUCUUGAAGAACAAAGAAAAGAACACAUGGCAAUUAGAGAAAAGAAAAAGCAUGAGGAUCCUAUUGAUUACAACGAUUACAAGGCGAUGCGGUUCACACGUGCGAUAAGUUCUAUGUUAUUUUGCUUCCUUGUGUACACUGACAGUACAUUUAUUUUUCUUCACAGAAUCAGGUGACUAAAAGAUACCAAAAAGAGUAAAUUAGAUAUUUUAUUAACACGUUAAAAUUACGUUGAGUAAAAAUUUAUUACUACAUUAUUAGUCUAUAUGAGAUAAAUCAUUAAUUUAGAUGGAACAGUUUGUCAACUGCAAGGUCAGCAUACUGAAUCUAUAUAUUUUUGCUGGUGCAGUUGAUUUUAGAGACCUCCAGGUAAGCAACAAUAGUAAAUAGGGUUAUGAUAAAAACCACUCAAGAUUUUGAAAUAAAUGGUAAGUAAGUUGGGGGAAAAUCUCAUGCAUAUUUUGUUUAAAUUUUAUGCACAGUCAAUGUAAAGAUUAUUUUUCUACUAUCAUGUUAUCCAAAGAAUACCUUAAAAAUAAAGCAGCAGUUAACUUAUUAUAACAGGUAAAGGUAAAGAUGACCUGAUGUUAUAAAUUUUUUUACACUUCACAUAUAUAUAACUUAAACUUAUUGUAUAUUUGUAUGCUUUGAGUGAUUGCUGUAAUUAUGGGCAUCAGAUGCAGGGACAAUAUAUUUCUCAUUUAGACUCAUUAAAAUCUUUAAUAUAAUAAUAGAUGUAUACUAUAUGAUAUUGAGAAAUUUGUAUGUGUAUAAGCUUGCUGAACUAUUUCAUUAUUUUGUCGGAGAAUUUACCUCCGAGACUUUAUAGUGGUGUUCCUGCAACCUAUUAGUACUUUUGUUCUAAUAGGAUGAUUUCUGGUAUGAAUGAGUGUGAUUUUGGCGAUUAUGCCUUUGGUAGUCCGCAAAAUGUUUCACACACAUGCAAUGAUGCCAUAUCUGAAGCAAAUAACAUUGUUUGUGAAUAUUUAAAUAAUUAUGACGUGGUUUUUAAUGCGUGUUAUCUAUAGUGGAACAAUAGCGAUUUAGGGAAAUGGUAAUUUUUUCCAUUUACUCAACUUCUUAAAUUUGUGUUUCUGCUAGAAGUGAAUGGUAUUUUCCCCUGAGCAAUAUACUAACAUGAAUGUAGGUGUUGAUGUGUAUUUGAGCUAAGAAAGGCACUUAUUUUAACCUUCCAAAGGUUCAGAAAGCCGCCAGUCAUGCAUAUAGCCAACUGCCUUAUAACCAUCUGGAUGUUCAGAAAGCCGCCACUCAUGCAUAUAGCCAACUUGCUUAUAGCUGGAUGAUGUGCAGCGUGUUAUAACUGAUGAAGUGUUACUUCUGUGGCAGUGUUCUGAAUUACUGUGAUGCAGAUAGGAAGAUUCAUAUUCUUACAUUACUAGAACGACUUCAGAACCACAUUCUUAUUUCAAUUUUCAGGUUUUGCCAACAAAUUUUUGGAGCACAUCUUUUUGCCAAUGCACUGUCAAGCUAUUAUCUUUUUGCCACAAGACUGCCUUUUUGAAAAGCUACAUUACAACCAUAUGUGACGCCCCAUGCUUUAAAAAGGUAUUUUGUCAACCAUGGCGUCGCACAACUACAACAUGCAUGACUGGUACUAAGAAAAUACUUUUUCUAUAAAUAUGUGGUAUAAAUGAUGUAUAUAUGACAGUGCAAUCAUCAAUGUAAUAGACAAAUGUAUAUAUGCAUAAACAGUGCAAACUUAUUUUAGUUGUCUUAUACUAUCUUACCUCAUUACUUACGAUAAUCUUCUUACUGUUGGAUAUUUUAAAUCAUCCCUGAAUAUUGUGAAAGUGAACGAUUUUUA